UUGUAUCACUAAGCGGAUGUGCAACGACUAGUUAACGGUAAAAUUUGUAUCACGUAAAUUAAAAACUCGCUGAAAUGAUUACUAUUUACAGUAAAAAAAAACUAAUUACAAUUACCCGACAAUUUACGGCGUGCGUGUUGGAUAAUGCGAAAAGAAAUAUUCUGAAAGCCCAGUAAAUGAAAUGCAAAAAAUUUUAUUUCAAGUUGAAAUAUUUUCCUGAAUUGUAAAAAAUAAAUGAAAAUUCAAAAUUUGUUGAAGUGAAUGUGUAUAUAUGAAUAUAUAUUAUAUAUUAAAUUGAGUUAAUUUAGUGAAGGCUAAAAUUGAUUUUGUGGAUUAAAAAAAAAUUAAAUGCUUAAAUAUUUUAAAAAUCAAAUUCAAUUUAUUAAAAAUGAAAAAGUGUGUGCUAGUUCAACUCUAACUUAGCAGUCGGAAACUGCUUUUAAUUUUCUGCAGCAGUGAAGGCAUAACAGUUUUUAGAAAAAAAAAUUGGAUAAAGGAAACCCAAGCAAAAUAUCCUCUUCACUCAUACUCCAGCUAUUUGUCGUAAUUAUCAAUUCUGCUCAAAACGCAGACCCGACGAGAAACACACAACCAACUAAACAUUGAGUUUCUGUGGUCUAACGCACACACUUUCACUAUAUACCUUCGGCGGACUUUCACAUUAUUGUGAAGCCGUAUGCAAACAAAUCAUCGCCAAAUACGAGGAAACCAAAAGUAUCCGAAACAUGCUUCACAAUAAGAGAGAUUUCACACUGAGUCCGACGGCGCCCGUUAUUGUCGCGCUGACGACAUCGUUCGUUGCAAUGGCAGUGCUGCCGGGAGUUUGAACAACGCUUUCGACCGCAUGAAUGGAUAAUGGUUUGGGCACUAGCGCAAGCUUCACCGGAUCCCCUGAACAAGAUGGCGCAGCGGUGGGUUAUGAUGUAAAUUGCUCUUUGCCACGGGAUAGUCUAUACGUAUUCGAAAUGAACCCAGGGAAACACGUUGUGUCAACCAUUGUGCCUGCAUUUUUCGGCAUUAUCGGACUCGCGGUCCUACUGGAAAAUGCUUAAAUUAUGAAAAUCGAAUGUGUGUUGACUGACUGAACAUAUUUGCUCUUGCUCAUUUGGAUAACUGACCAUACAGACACAUAAUUUUGUAUUUAACAAGUGAGUGUAAGCAAUGGGUGCAUGCGAUAACAGCUAAUAGAUAUGCGGUUGAAGCACAUAAUUUGAAAACCAGCAUUUAUGGCAAACUCAGUGAAAAAUAUUGUGAUAGUGGGACAAUUGGAUGGUGUCAAAAUUGGAUAUUUUUGAAAAAUUUAUGAUUUGUCAUAAUUCUACAUUUAAGAAACAUUAAUCAGAUACGUUGCCUUUAAAUAAAGUUUUCAAGUAUAUUUGGACAGUAAUAAAAUUUGUAGUAUCUGUCAGUUUAAUUAAACAACUGACAUUUCACAGAAUGCUCAUAAAUAUUUGUAUUCGAAAGUUCAGUACAAAAUGCCACAAAUCACUGAAAUAUAAGGGAAAAUUUCAUUUAAUUCGAAUUUCAUCCACACCAUAUUAUCCGUAUCCCAGAGACUCUUUUUUUGUCGGAAUUCAAGAGAAUGUUCACUGAAAAGGUUGUCACAGAAGUGUACACUACAAUAUUCAAUUCAACUUCUAUCUUUGCAAACAUAUUUUGGCAUUUUAAAGAGAGAACUUUAAAUAGUAUUAUAAAGUGCUACAAAAUUAUUUGAGUUCUUUGUCUACAUAUAAAGUAAAUACAACAAAUGUUUCAGUAGAAAAAUGUGUAAUAAAUCAAUGCCUAAGUAGCACUCAGCUGCAGAAGUAUUCAGGCGCGUGCGAGAGUGUGCGUUCGUGCCAACGCUGAGGACCUAUAAGUACUCAGAUAAACUAGAAUGUAUGCAAUUGCUUGAACGACCAUGAAAAUGUGGAAUAUAUGUGUGCUUAUGGACGCAUAUAUGUAUGUAUAUUAGAUUGACUACGUAAACGAGCUCAUCAGGUGUCAGGCUACAAACCAAUCGCGCUUUGUUGAGCUCCUACGUUAUUUCAAUGGCAAGUUGGAAGUCAAGGUCAUUCAAUAAUAGUUUUUUCUCUUUGCACUUUCUUUCUCUCUUUGUUUUGCAAGCCACUUCAUCCAAUAACCAAUAACAUUUUCCAUGCUGAAGUGAGCAAGUGAGAACAUCGAGACGUGUAAAUUCGAUCUCGUGCUCCUGCAAUAACAAGACCGCUUGACGACUGUAGUGCCUCUCAAAGAGAAAUGAUAGCUAUUAAGGUAGUGCGGCUAUUUUUAGGGAGGUAAGCAAACACUCCGAGAGCAGAGCUGUUAUACAGGCAAAUAAAAGAGUUUUCUCUUCACGCACUUGCUAUACGCUAUAGUGAUCAGAAAAUUUAGCUGUUUGGCAGCGGAUCUAUUCAAGCGAAACGAAAAUAUUGCCGACAGAGAAUGAACAAAAGGUUCCAAUGGUCAUUAUCACGUGCGAAACGAACACUGAACUACAAUUAGGAAAAGCACCACACACUCUUGCAGACUUGAACUUUGUAGGUAUGCAAACUUGUUUGGCGCCAAUGUAACUGACGGCACUCGCU